UGAUGCAGAAUCUAGCAUGUUGACUGCUGA
rnacentral:piRNA from 1 species